CGCCCCCAAUCACGACCACCCCCGCCCCGCGGCGGCGCCCCCAACUCCCAACCCCACGGUGUUGCUCGACCACCUCCCACACCUCGGCAGUGUCCCCGCCCCACGCAGACACACCCAUCCUAUCGUGGCCUCCCCUCACCAGAUCGGCCCACCUCGGCUCCCUCGCCACCGGAUUAGACGUGCGCGAGGAGAAAGCCCCCUGAUCCUCUGCUCGACUCAGGUGAAUCUCCUCUCCCGCAGCUUCCCCUACCUUGACAAGAAAGCCGACUGUGCCGUGCCGACUGCCCCCGACGCCUUCCCCCACCAACCACCAGAUCCCGGCCGGCGGACAGAGCUCCCACCACGGCACCCCGUCACGCUGCCGUCCACAUCCGCUAGCCCGUGCAGUUAGGUUGGGGUGUUCACCCCAUCCCACCCGGGCCGGCACACCCCGUCGCCGGAUCCACCCGGGCCGACACACCCCGUCGACCACGACCUAGCCGUCACACGCAACAACACCUCCACCUCUCUUGAGUGCUCGGGGGUCGCCCGAGAGCAGCUUAGUUGUUGUCCUAAUGCCGCUCGACUGCCAUUGUUUAGUCUCGGGCGUGGACGUGCAGCUCGACAACCAUGGACAUGCAGCUCGGACGCAUGCGUGCAGCAGUUCAUUGCUCGUGUACUUGCAGGCUUUGGUGUUUUUGGGUGUGGGUGCAAUUCAUCAUCGCGGUGUGCGGUGUGCAGCUGCAGUUCAUGUAGGUCCUCUACACCAUCGCGCUCGCGCAGGUCCUGCUUGUCGUCAACGCCUACAUCACUUCCCCUCAUUUUUGAAGCCAAGGGACGCGCAGUCGCCAUGGACAGAGCAGUAGUUGCCCCUCUUCUCCAACUCCAAUGACUCCUCUGGGUCCUCUCCAUCAUGCCCGUCAUGUAGUAGUGCACUCCAGGAGGAAAACAUGGCAUAGGAGGGCUGCAGGAGAUGGUGGCUACACCGGAGGCCAGACACUACAAUUGCCACGCCGCGGUCCACAUGCGCCUUGGCCGCUGGACAUAAAGUGCAUAUGUGUUCAUCGCCGGCGUGUAGUUCCCAAGUGACGCAUCUGUAGUUUACUCAAGAAACAAAAAAAUGCAGAAGAAAAGAAAACAAAGAAGUUCAUUUUGUUCUUUCUUUUUGGUUGGCAUUCAUUUUCCCAGGCAAACGC